AUACUUACCUGGCAGGGGAGAUACCAUGAUCAUGAAGGUGGUUUUCCCAGGGCGAGGCUUAUCCAUUGCACUCCGGAUGUGCUGACCCCUGCGAUUUCCCCAAAUGCAGGAAACUCGACUGCAUAAUUUGUGGUAGUGGGGGACUGCGUUUGCGCUCUCCCCUG
ensembl:snRNA U1 U1 spliceosomal RNA